CAUCAUUUGAACCAAGCGCGCUGAUUUUUCUGGAGUUGAAAAGGCAGCCACAGUAUUCUACCUCAAAAUCUUCACAAAGCACCACCUGUCCCUUUUAAUACAUCUAGUACGCCUUCCAGUCCUCUACGCCACUCCUCUGUUGGACAUGUUCCAGAUCUGACUCAUCCUGAAGAUGGUUACACAGAGCCUCCAGCUGCUAGGUCUUCUUCUCACAUGCCAUCGAGCUCUAUGGACCAGAUCUCUGCCAUGUCUCUGUCAAAUGAGCAUUCCUUUAGGCCCACAUUUAG